rnacentral:rRNA from 1 species
AUUGAACGCUGGCGGCAUGCUUUACACAUGCAAGUCGAACGGUAACAGGCCGCAAGGUGCUGACGAGUGGCGAACGGGUGAGUAAUGCAUCGGAACGUGCCCAGUCGUGGGGGAUAACGCAGCGAAAGCUGUGCUAAUACCGCAUACGAUCUAUGGAUGAAAGCGGGGGACUGUAAGGCCUCGCGCGAUUGGAGCGGCCGAUGUCAGAUUAGGUAGUUGGUGGGGUAAAGGCUCACCAAGCCAACGAUCUGUAGCUGGUCUGAGAGGACGACCAGCCACACUGGGACUGAGACACGGCCCAGACUCCUACGGGAGGCAGCAGGGGGGAAUUUUGGACAAUGGGCGCAAGCCUGAUCCAGCAAUGCCGCGUGCAGGAAGAAGGCCUUCGGGUUGUAAACUGCUUUUGUACGGAACGAAACGGUCUGGGUUAAUACCCUGGGCUAAUGACGGUACCGUAAGAAUAAGCACCGGCUAACUACGUGCCAGCCGCCGCCGUAACAC